rnacentral:rRNA from 1 species
CCCAGACUCCUACGGGAGGCAGCAGUGGGGGAUAUUGCACAAUGGGGGAAACCCUGAUGCAGCGACGCCGCGUGAGUGAAGAAGUAUUUCGGUAUGUAAAGCUCUAUCAGCAGGGAAGAAAAAAGACGGUACCUGACUAAGAAGCCCCGGCUAACUACGUGCCAGCAGCCGCGGUAAUACGUAGGGGGCAAGCGUUAUCCGGAUUUACUGGGUGUAAAGGGAGCGUAGACGGCAAUACAAGUCGGAAGUGAAAUACCCGGGCUCAACCUGGGAAUUGCUUUGGAAACUGUAUGGCUGGAGUGCUGGAGAGGUAAGCGGAAUUCCUAGUGUAGCGGUGAAAUGCGUAGAUAUUAGGAGGAACACCAGUGGCGAAGGCGGCUUACUGGACAGUAACUGACGUUGAGGCUCGAAAGCGUGGGGAGCAAACAGGAUUAGAUACCCGGGUACU